AUUGAACGCUGGCGGCAUGCCUUACACAUGCAAGUCGAACGGCAGCACGGGAGCAAUCCUGGUGGCGAGUGGCGAACGGGUGAGUAAUAUAUCGGAACGUGCCCAGUCGUGGGGGAUAACGUAGCGAAAGCUACGCUAAUACCGCAUACGAUCUAUGGAUGAAAGCGGGGGAUCGCAAGACCUCGCGCGAUUGGAGCGGCCGAUAUCAGAUUAGGUAGUUGGUGGGGUAAAGGCCCACCAAGCCUGCGAUCUGUAGCUGGUCUGAGAGGACGACCAGCCACACUGGGACUGAGACACGGCCCAGACUCCUACGGGAGGCAGCAGUGGGGAAUUUUGGACAAUGGGCGCAAGCCUGAUCCAGCAAUGCCGCGUGCAGGACGAAGGCCUUCGGGUUGUAAACUGCUUUUGUACGGAGCGAAAAGGCUCUCUCUAAUACAGGGGGCACAUGACGGUACCGUAAGAAUAAGCACCGGCUAACUACGUGCCAGCCGCCGCCGUAACAC
rnacentral:rRNA from 1 species